AAAAAUCUCUUUGUUGUCUCUCAGAUUUUUCCGAUUUUGUGUUUGUGGCUAGCUCUCACUCUUGCUAUAUCUAUCUUGUCCAGUUGUGGAUUAGGUGCAGCUCAGCCCCACCACCCCCCCCACCGUUUCCAUUACUAGUGGGGGAUUUAAUCAGCCCAAGUGCGGUGGUGAGCCUCAGAUGAUGCUCAGCUCUGAGCUUGAUCUUCUCAUUUACUAAUGGAACUGAAUGGGAUGGUCCUUACAAAUUGUAAUUUCAAGUUCCCAAGGCAUGGCCAAUAUUGCCAUCUUGCAAGCUGAAUCUUUGGUUGAGCAUGGAUGAUUAGUAGUUGACUUUGCUGGUUUCUUCUUCUGAAUGCUUGGCAGAGCUCAGCUCCAGAACCAAGUCUAAAGAUCAUUGGAAUCCUAUGAGUUGAAAUAUUGAAAGAACUCUCAUCUUGUAUUCAGGAUCUACCAGAAAAAUUGAGUAAAGAGGGUGACUGCAACAGAGCAAUCUUUCCAGACUCGAACAUUGUUGUCAUUAGUUGUACCAUGAUUGGAAACUUGACUUUUGAAGGGUUAAGUAUGGUAUAUGCUUCUAGUCCUACUGUGUGUUCUAUCUUCUGGAAGUCAUGAAGGCCAUGACUCUGGAUGUCAUGUGAAAUCUUUGUUUUCUGAAAAUGUAGUGAUAUAGGAAGAUCGCUACAAUCUGGACCUUGCGCUGGGAUGAACAGAUCCAAACUCACCCUUCUAUACCCUGCUUGCUAAUGUUGAUGAUGGACCGUCUCCAAUCAAUUCAGAUUCUGAGGAAUGGCAUCCUUGGCAGCCUUGCUUCCGAGUUCUGACCUUUUAUAUGCGGGAAUGGGAUUACAUCUCUAUAUCAUAAGCCACAGUAUGAUUCUCAAUUUAUUUGUAGCACUUGUUUCAAGAAACAGGAGCUACUCGUCUUGAAAAGAUAAUCAUGAUUUAUUUCAAGGAGCUAGUCUCAAGUGUCAACUAGCAAAUAGGAGCCCAAAGUGGUGCAUCAAAAUUAUACUCUCAAGCCACAUUAUACUCAACUGGGUGAUUUAUUGUAUUCUUUAAACUGGAAGAAGUAGUGACGCCUAAAAGAGGUUAGCCUGUAAUCCUGUAUUGACUAAGGUGGGAUUAUUUUAUUCAGAGAAGAGGGUGUUGGCUAGGUUUUCUUUGAGCUCAUGGUUCUUCAUUUCUGUUUGAGGCUUUGACCAUAAGGUCGAAAGCGCUUCGUCCUGAUAAAAUUAUGGUUUCUACUCAUAA